UUGACAGAUUCAGAGAUCAAAGUCCUCUUUUUAUCAACUGAGCAGAUCUAGCACAGAGAGUAAAGUUUCCCAUCUGCCCAAACCACUGCUCUGGAGGUUUUACCUAUAAAAAAAGAGAGGAUUUUUCAAGCUCUUUGCCUUUUUCUCUUUAGAGAAU
rnacentral:sRNA from 1 species